GCCCAGAUGGCGGAAUCGGUAGACGCGUCGGUCUCAAACACCGAUAUCGAAAGAUGUGCCGGUUCGACCCCGGCUCUGGGUACAA
rnacentral:tRNA from 1 species